GCUUUCCUCUCUGUAAUCGUGUGAUGGGCCGAGAUUGACUUUCUGAUAGAGCGUAGUCAGAAGUUUUACAGAUAUGUGUGUCUGUGGAUCGUAAUGACAAUCAACAGGAACUGUUACAAUAAUGGACCAACCGCUAACAAUGCAUGGACUAUCACACAGCGGCGACAUUGUAACGAAGUGAUCAAUGUUUGAAGAUUCUACUACGAUUGAUCGUUUUCACGGCUAAACAAAGUUGUAGACAAGGUUUUAAUGAUUAUUGAGAGGUUGAUUUGUGUAUAAAUAAAACAUAAGUUACAUUCUUAAUCGCGCUGCUAAAUGUUUGUCGGUUGUAUUUCGCCUCUUCUCGUGGUAAUGGAUCGACGCUAUAAUAACGUUCGCUGUUUGUGGCUCGAGACAUUUGAUGGUAUCGAGGCUCGACAUCGGAUACUCUAGAUCAGGGUGUACAUAGCGAAGGCUCUCCAGGUCACCUAAAAAUUCCCGCAUUCUUAACAGUGGUCUACAGUGGAAGUUGUUGAAAUCGAGGACUUUGACGCAGAGGAUCAGGACCAGACGAGACCAAGUGCGAGGACGUACGUCAUAUCCCGGGGUCUCGGAUAUAUCUAGUAGAAACAGUUUCAUAUUGAUUUUUAUUGUUACAUGUAUGUAUCAGUGGUGUUUGAUGACAGUGAAUUUACUUCAGGAAGAUUAAUUAUGUAAAGGUGUUAAUCCUGUCGCAUGGAAUCAAAUGGGCCGCUGAGUGAGAAUUUCGAUGCUUCGAAGUUCAUUAUUUGCAGAGGUGAUUCAAAACUAAUAUUAUGUUGACAUUGCGAAGAGGUGUAAUUAAGUGAAAGAUCAGGGGACUUUUAACAAACAGUAUACUUAGUGCCAAUGAUCCCUGGUGAAAUCAAACUUGCAGGGAAAUGACAGAUCAGGAGACCGGUGGAUUAUACAUUUUCUAGUUUGCUGGAAACGGCUUGUGCAAUAUGUCUGUUAAUGAAAGCUCAUCACAACCAAUUGAAAGGUUGAUUCAACUUUUGCAUAAUGCCUGUGGCCUUGUCAAUGGCAGUAACAGCAUUCAAAUUACCAUAGAAAAUGGCAACGCCAUUCAUAAUUGCACGAGGACGCCGGACGAAGAGACAGGGGCGGAUCAUGGAGCUGUCAUGUACAUUGUGGCGGUCCUGGUCUUUUACUCAGCCGGAAUUGUGAUAAUGUUAAUAAAAUAUUCCAGAUCAGAACGGAAAAGAAUGGAAGAGGAGGUGGCACUUGAUUUCUUUUUCAAGGGUAUGCCUUUUGGAAAAAGCACAAAGGAACACAAUGUAAACAGCGUAGCGAUAAGGGCAUUCCAUACAAUGACAAUGUCUGCAUACGAACCAAAAAAAAAUCACAUAAUUCCGAAGCCUUUACUAGAGACGGAUGUUUGACACAAGCCUCCUUCACUGUUACCGAUGGAUGCUAAUCACCGACAGAGGGAGUUGUUGACAGAAACAGCCUUCACUGUUUACAAGAGGCAGCUGUGUUUAACCAUUGCAUCGUCAUAGGGAAAUGUUGUUUAGCAAUUACUCUAAUGACAUUGCAACAGAAUUUCCCCAAAUAUAGUGAAAGGAAAUUCAAAAAUCUGUUAACGGGUUUUAAGGGAUACUUGAUAUGAACGAUUUGUGGUGGAAAUAUUAAAAGAGAAAUCGAAUUCAAUAAUUAUGCAAAACGAUUGAUUGAUUGAUCGUAGAUUGUUUAACGUCCCGUAUGGAGACGUCACCAUUGCCGGUGAGAGAAUCACCAGAUUGCAGUUGCUUUAAUUUUGUGCUUUUAAUAUUGAUCUUUUCGUUUAGAUGUUGUGUAUAUAUUUUUAUUCAUAAUUUGGUUUUGAUAUACUAAUCUUAUGAUAAUCAAAGCUUUAAUGUGAUAAUUAUAUGUAUUUGUCAUUGGUACAAAUGUACCCGACAUUCCUUUCAUUUUUGAAUUGAAUUGAAUUUUUAUUCAGAUAAAUGUUUUUCCUACAAUUUCAAAUAGAUUCAUCGUCAUUUGUAUAUUUUUUAAUUGAAUAAUAAAAAUCUAAUAAUUCACA